CCUCCCUACCGCCCAUUCUCCCAUCUCAUCCACUCACCGCCACCACUUCGCGGACCGCUCGUUCCCACUCAUGUCCAGAUCUGAAGCUGAGAAAAGUGGAAAGAGAGUAUAGCAGCGGAAACGGAAGCAGGGCAGCGAAAGUGGCAGCAGAUUCACGGCCAGUCCAUGCGGAUGGAGAAGAUCAAGUGAGACUGUUAGUAGGUAUUUCCAUCUUGUUUUAGACGGUCUGUGUAUCCUUGCCGGUGACCUCAUAUGCAUCAAAUCACUUGAGACACAUUCGAAGAUCGCAACUUCCCGUGGCAGAUUUCACCCUUACUUUGAGGGAUGCAUAAGACCCCUGGAUGGUACACGUAUAAGAAACCGUAGUGACCAGGAGAAUGUGGCAUGGGCAAAGAAAAGAGAAGAGAUGGCCAAAGCAAUGUGGGAAGAUAAAGUAGGACCAUCUCUGAUAAUUUCUUUCUUGUUUGUAUGCAACACAUGCAUGCGAUGCUUUUAUAAUUUCUCUUGUAUGAAACACAUGAGUGUGAUGCUCUAAUUAUAAUGAUCAUCUACUCUAAGUUUAUAAUUUCUUUUUUAUGACAUACAUGAGUUUUUAUCCCCUCGAACAAAAUCAAAAUAAUUGAAGUUUAUGGUCAUGUGUUAUGAUUUA